AGUGAACGCUGGCGGUAGGCCUAACACAUGCAAGUCGAACGGCAGCACAGUAAGAGCUUGCUCUUACGGGUGGCGAGUGGCGGACGGGUGAGGAAUACAUCGGAAUCUACUUUUUCGUGGGGGAUAACGUAGGGAAACUUACGCUAAUACCGCAUACGACCUACGGGUGAAAGCAGGGGAUCUUCGGACCUUGCGCGACUGAAUGAGCCGAUGUCGGAUUAGCUAGUUGGCGGGGUAAAGGCCCACCAAGGCGACGAUCCGUAGCUGGUCUGAGGGGAUGAUCAGCCACACUGGAACUGAGACACGGUCCAGACUCCUACGGGAGGCAGCAGUGGGGAAUAUUGGACAAUGGGCGCAAGCCUGAUCCAGCCAGACCGCGUGGGAGAAGAAGGCCUUCGGGUUGUAAAGCCCUUUUGUUGGGAAAGAAAAGCAGCAGGUUAAUACCCCGCUGUUCUGACGGUACCCAAAGAAUAAGCACCGGCUAACUUCGUG
rnacentral:rRNA from 1 species